GAUGAACGCUGGCGGCGUGCCUAAUACAUGCAAGUCGAGCGAACGGACGAGAAGCUUGCUUUUCUGAUGUUAGCGGCGGACGGGUGAGUAACACGUGGAUAACCUACCUAUAAGUCUGGGAUAACUUCGGGAAACCGGAGCUAAUACCGGAUAAUAUUUUGAACCGCAUGGUUCAAAAGUGAAAGACGGUCUUGCUGUCACUUAUAGAUGGAUCCGCGCUGCAUUAGCUAGUUGGUAAGGUAACGGCUUACCAAGGCAACGAUGCAUAGCCGACCUGAGAGGGUGAUCGGCCACACUAGAACUGAGACACGGUCCAGACUCCUACGGGAGGCAGCAGUAGGGAAUCUUACGCAAUGGGCGAAAGCCUGACGGAGCAACGCCGCGUGAGUGAUGAAGGUCUUCGGAGCGUAAAACUCUGUUAUUAGGGAAGAACAUAUGUGUAAGUAACUGUGCACAGCGUGACGGUACCUAAUCAGAAAGCAACGGCUAACUACGUG
rnacentral:rRNA from 1 species